rnacentral:misc_RNA from 1 species
GUUUUUUGUACAAAUAUCUUAAGAUGUCUAUGACUAAGGCAUUGGACAUUACAGGCAGCACAGUAAAAGCAGUGAAGGCAGCACAAUGAAAUUAAUCCUCUGUAUGUUACUCUCUCCGAUCCUCGGUAUUUGAUGGAAUUUUCCGGUGUUAUGCUGUGGUGAUUGCGGUUAUUGUGGUUGUUGCGGAGACUGAAUGGGGAUUUUUCAUCAAGUUCUGGAAGGUGUUGGAGUUUUCAGCUGGAAGGGGCAUGCUACAGAUCUUUGUUGCAGUGAUGACCAGAGCUUAUCCUGAAGAUUAUGGGCAAAGGAAUGACCUCAUCCUUCUCCGGAACAUAGCUAGCUACUUUCUUCUUACCUGUGGUGCAAUUUACAUAAUAUCAGGAUUGUUGUGCUUUGGAUUUAUCAAACGUGCUCGUCAGGCAAAAGAAAUAUCCAGGGAGCAAGCAAUUAACGAUCUUCAGGAUUUGGAGCGUCGUAGAGAAGAGCUUGAAGCUCUGUUGAUACAGGA